rnacentral:rRNA from 1 species
CCAAAAGGUUACAUAAGUAGUUUGAUCCUGGCUCAGGAAGUCGUAAAGCUGGAACCAUAUAAGUCUGCGGCGGACGGUUGAGUAACACGUGGGUAACCUGCCUGUAAGACUGGGAUAACUCCGGGAAACCGGGGCUAAUACCGGAUGCUUGAUUGAACCGCAUGGUUCAAUCAUAAAAGGUGGCUUUUAGCUACCACUUACAGAUGGACCCGCGGCGCAUUAGCUAGUUGGUGAGGUAACGGCUCACCAAGGCGACGAUGCGUAGCCGACCUGAGAGGGUGAUCGGCCACACUGGGACUGAGACACGGCCCAGACUCCUACGGGAGGCAGCAGUAGGGAAUCUUCCGCAAUGGACGAAAGUCUGACGGAGCAACGCCGCGUGAGUGAUGAAGGUUUUCGGAUCGUAAAACUCUGUUGUUAGGGAAGAACAAGUACCGUUCGAAUAGGGCGGUACCUUGACGGUACCUAACCAGAAAGCCACGGCUAACUACGUGCCAGCAGCCGCGGUAAUACGUAGGUGGCAAGCGUUGUCCGGAAUUAUUGGGCGUAAAGCGCGCGCAGGCGGUUUCUUAAGUCUGAUGUGAAAGCCCCCGGCUCAACCCGGGGAGGGUCAUUGGAAACUGGGGAAACUUUGAAUGCAGAAAAGGAAGA